GCGCCUGUAGUCCAACGGUAGGAUAUCAGCCUUCCAAGCUGAGGACCCGGGUUCGACUCCCGGCGGGCGCA